UAUAGAAUUUGGGCUGGAAGUUUGAAACAAAAACAAAGUAGUUGGUCGGUGGCGCAUGCCACCGACUUUGUACUUUAAGACUUUAGGGUAAUGUCGUUGUUACCGUUGAAUUUACAAUAUUACCCUCAGUGACUGCUAAACUCCGCGACACGUAUUCUAUCUCCAAGCCUCUCACAAAAUCUCACGUUCUCCCUCUAUCUUUUCCCAAUCUUGCUUCAUACAAUGUUCCAGAUUAAUCUUUUUCCUGAAAAUCACUGAGUUUCGUCCUUCCUACUUCCUAUUUCUGUUCGCCAGUGUGUAUCGCAAUGGUCAUUUCUUUACAGUAACAGAGACAUGAUUGAAGUGAUGGGGAACACCAAUCUUGUUAGGAAGAGGAUAUCGGUUCUUGACAGUAAGCUUGGAAAUCCAAGUAUAGAGCUGAAGUCGCUAAAAACUGUCACACCCUGAUUUCCCGGCCCAUGGAAAGUUCAUCACUGUUACCCCUCUGGUUUUCUAGGAGAAUAACCUUCCCGGUUUGAAACUUAUGUAGUGUACGAACGCGCGUUAGCCACUAUAAUGCAUUUUAUGGUUCUUAGUUACCUUAUAUUUUGUUUGUAGCUAUCCUUAUUUGCUUCAAGUUUGCGUUACCGGGAUGUGCUUUUCAAGUUACGUUAGUUGCUUUCUUA